rnacentral:rRNA from 1 species
GACGAACGCUGGCGGCGUGCUUAACACAUGCAAGUCGAACGGAAAGGCCCUGCUUUUGUGGGGUGCUCGAGUGGCGAACGGGGGAGUAACACGUGAGUAACCUGCCCUUGACUUUGGGAUAACUUCAGGAAACUGGGGCUAAUACCGGAUAGGAGCUCCUGCUGCAUGGUGGGGGUUGGAAAGUUUCGGCGGUUGGGGCUGGACUCGCGGCUUAUCAGCUUGUUGGUGGGGUAGUGGCUUACCAAGGCUUUGACGGGUACCCGGCCUGAGAGGGUGACCGGCCACAUUGGGACUGAGAUACGGACCAGACUCCUACGGGAGGCAGCAGGGGGGAAUAUUGCACAAUGGGCGGAAGCCUGAUGCAGCAACGCUGCGUGCGGGAUGACGGCCUUCGGGUUGUAAACCGCUUUCGCCUGUGACGAAGCGUGAGUGACGGUAAUGGGUAAAGAAGCACCGGCUAACUACGUG